UAAGUUAGAAGUUGAAAUAGUUGUUAUUAAUUAAUGAUGCGGUCCCAACGCAUCAAGCCCUAAUUGGGAGGUGAUAAGUGAUGUGGGGGGGUGGCAGUCCCACCUAACCUA
rnacentral:ncRNA from 12 species